UUCAUUUUCUCCGUCCACUCUUUCCCUCUAUUCUUUUUUUUCUCUUCCUAGCUUUUGGGUCUGGAGCUUGAUCUCCACUCCAUUUGUCGGAGCGGCCGAAAAGCAUUCUGCAUCGCCGCCGUUGGAACCUCUCUUCCUUUCAUAUGCGGCAUCCUCGUCUUCAUGGGAGUCGCCCUUUCUAUCACCGUACUCCCUGUGCUUGCACGCACCCUAGCGGGGCUCAAGCUCCUCACCACGCGCAUAGGAGAGGUCGCCAUGGCCGCAGUGGCGUUCAACGACGUCACCGCGUGGAUCCUACUCGCGGCAUGAGCUUUGUUGCUUUCUGUGUUCUGGACCUUGUUGAUUUUCUGUUAUGUUUCGUUUUUAAAGCUGUGGACUUGUGGGUUGAGGCAGAGUUUAGACCCUGCUAUUGAUCCUUCGCGACAGAUUGGCUUCUCUCUCAGCCAGCCAUGCAGGAUGUGAAGUCAAUGGACAAAACCCAAGGAUGAAGAUAAGUGAUUUAUUGCCAUAUUGGUUCCACAUAGCAGAAGGUGUUGUGUGUAAUGAUGUUGAUAUGCAAUCAUUAUUUCUGUUGACGGGACCGAACGGUGGUGGGAAAUCAAGUUUACUUAGGUCAAUUUGUGCUGCUGCACUACUUGGGAUAUGUGGACUCAUGGUUCCUGCAGAAUCAGCCCUAAUUCCUUAUUUUGACUCCAUCACGCUUCAUAUGAAGUCAUAUGAUAGUCCAGUUGAUAAGAAGAGUUCCUUUCAGGUUUGCUAUUGGCUCAUGCUUUUCUCUUAUGUUCAUCUAUAGUAAGAUAUUAUAUAAUGUUGAUUACACCCUAACACAUGGCACUAGAGAUUGUUCAAAAUUGGGGCUAAAGGAAAGAAUGAGAUCAUCGAAAAUAACUCAAACUCCAUCAAGUACACGAGUGAGUAAGGUAAAAUCUUGGCCUGCCAAUUUGAAUCUCUGCUCAUCAACCAACUUUUUGGUCAAGGCUUCCAACUGAGCAAUAUAGCUAAUGAAUCAGAAAUCUUACGGAUUGAAGAGGCAAUUGCAAUUCAAGGAAAUAGUUCUUUUGAGGAGAGAGCAAUUGUACUUUACAAGGAAAGUAGAAUACAAGUAUUAUCUUACAGAAGAGAUGACAAGUGAUAGGAACCACUCAUCCAUCAAAAACUCUAAUAAUGCCAACACUUUUUGGAUGGAAUACUGCGCACUCUUUUUGUUAGAUGGAAUAAAAGGUUGUCUAGCUACUUUCAUUGAAUUAUCUUGCAUGUAUGAGUUCCUAUAUAUUUACUGCUGAUGGGUUUGCAUCACAGCCUGAUAGUUAUUCUUUUAAUAUUUAGUUAUUUUUUUAUUGAGGGUGACUA